rnacentral:lncRNA from 1 species
CGUUAGAACAAAAAAGGAUGCAAAAAAGCAAACUGCUUUACACGUGACCUCGUUUUCUGAGGCACCGUUGAUGUGGUUGAUCCCAGACAUGUCGUGUGACGUGGAGCUGGCAAUCUCAUCUGGGCUGAGGGUGAGAGUCAGAACGUUGGGUGUUCCUGGAAGGAGAUACAGGUGGAAGGUCUCCGAGAGAUCUUUUCACUAUUGAAGAAAAAAAUAUUUCUUGGACAGGAGAACUGGGUAGAGAUGGAUAAAGACAUCCUUUUCAUUGUAAAACCCUUUUUAUUACUUGAUUUUUAAAAAUCAACUGUAGACACUACUUUUUGAAAAAACACUAGAAAGCAG